UAGUGUGUAUGAUUUAUGUGUGCGAUUGCAGAAGGUAUACCUGUAAAGGUCAGAAGAUUACUUUAUGAAGUCAGUUCUCUCCCCCUCCCUUUAUGUGGGUUCCAGGGAUUGAACUCAAGGCAUCUGGCUUGUGUGGCAGGCACUUCUAUCUGCUGGGCCAUCGGGCUGACUCUGGCAUCACCUUUUGAAGGGCAUAUCUUCAUCGUAAAUGCUCUUGGAUUUUAUGGAUUGGGUGUUUGUGUUCACCCAAAUUCAAAGUGAGACCUACCAUCAGUGCAUGAUGUGAAGAGAUGGGGCUUUGGGGUUUGGGGUGUUAUUGGGCAUGGCAGGGGAGCCAGAGGGCAUGAGGGAACAUACCCAGGGGUGUGCUUUCUUCUGUGGAUCAGUCUGCGCAGGAAGUCUCUGUGAUGACCAGGUCUCACCGUCCAGAUCUGCAGGCAGCUCAGCCUUCAGAACCGUGACAGAGCCAAGUGAUUGUUGGGUAAGCUACCUAUCUGUGGGUGCUUGUUGAAGCAGCCCACCUGAGUGUGUUCUUCAGAGAACAGGAACCUUUAAACCUGAACAUGGACUGUGGCUCAAGGGUUAGCAGUUUAUAGCUGGCAAGCCAAAAUUGGGGCCUGCUGUUUUUUUUUUUUUAAAGAUUUAUUUAUUUAUUAUAUGUAAGUACACUGUAGCUGUCUUCAGACACUCCAGAAGAGGGCGUCAGAUCUUGUUACAGGUGGUUGUGAGCCACCAUGUGGUUGCUGGGAAUUGAACUCCGGACCUUCAGAAGAGCAGUCGGGUGCUCUUACCCACUGAGCCAUCUCACCAGCCCCGGGGCCUGCUGUUUUGUAAAAAAAGUUUUAUUGAAACAUGGCCCUGUGUCAUUUGUUUUCAUGUUGUCAGUACCUGCUUUAGUUGACAGUCCAGUGGGCUUGGGUUUUUUUGUUUGUUUGUUUGAUUGAUUGAUAAGUUUUAUAGGAGUAUUGUGUGUGUGUGUGUUUGUUUGUUUGUUUGUUUGUUUGUUUGUUGAGACAGAGUAGCCUAGACUGGCCUUGAACUCACUAUGUAGCUGAGGGUGGCCUUGAACUCAUGAUCCUCCUGGCUCUAACUUUCAAGUGGUGAUAUUACAAGUGCGUACGUAUAGGAUUUCAGAUGUUCAACACCAUGCUCAGCUUUCUGCUGGGGUGCUGAGGAUCUGACCUCAGGUUCUCAUGCUUCCGUACUGAGCCCAUCCACACUUUGUUCUGUACCUUCCACAGGAGCAGAGGAAUGGGAGAAAGCCAGAAAUCCAUUGAAAGAUACUUUUAAUCCACUUAGGAAUACUUACGUAAAUACAUCUUGAAAACUUAAACUGGAAAUAAGCUUACACCAGAAUGAAACCAGUAGGCAAGAAACACAAUCUAUUUGAACAAGCAGUUUUUCCCGUAUCUUCUGUUUCACUCAGCUCUAUAAACAUUUGUGAACCACGUGGGAUGAAUUGGAGGGAUACAGGCAUGGAUGACCUGUAAUGCUUGCCCAUAGGCUGUGCAGGGGCUGGCUGUGGUCAGGACUCAGCAGGUGAAGGUGCCUGCUGCCCAGCCUGAUGAUCCGAGUCCACUUUCUGGAAUCUCCAUGGUUGACUGCCUCCAAGAGGUACAGUAUACACUUAUCAAGUAAUGGUACGGUUUACUGCUUAGCUAGCCAAUCCUGGAGCCCUGGAUAAUGUGUGCACUGGGAGGAGUCCUGACAGGUGACUUGCCCAAAGUCACAUGGCACAUGUUUUAGAUCUGUCCUUUGUUGAGGGCUAUGGUGCUCUGGCCACCCUGUAAUGUAAUGGCCACUCUGUUGCAUCACGGAGUAGGUUCUGUGGUUCCUGUGAUUCACAGAGCCCAAGGACUUGUCAGUCUAGAGCUAAUCUGUGUUGGAAUCUUAGGUGGUUUUACUGGGAGGUCUGUGCUUUGUUGACCAGGAUCCUGGCUCUGGCUGAGCCCCACAUCCUGGCUAAGCCGCCACCAUUGACUGGCUGGCAGACUGCUGCAUGGAGAGCUUCUGUGAACUUACAACGUCAGUAGGCUGGCUCCUUGAAGCAGCCAGUGUCUUCUAGCCCCUGAAAUGAUCACAGUCUACUUCCGGUUGUUUGUACCUGCUCUCCAUCUGGCCCCUUCUCAGGGACAACUACGGGGAUGGUUCAUUUGAACUUGGGUGGUGUCAGAGCCAUCAUUCAUCAGUGCUUUGGAAUCCAAAUGGAAGCCUGAAUAGUAGCUGCCUUGACAGCAAGCUCUGGUUGCUAUGGCAAUAGGGCAAUCGGGUCUCUCCCAGACCCUGAAGUCAAAAGUAACACCACUGAGCUUGAGCUACAAAGUGGGGAUGCAGCGGUUGACAGGGGUCUUGCUCUUGUUGCUGCGUGUCUCAGGAUGCUGGGUGAAGCAGGGGGCAGUUGGGAGUGAGCUCUGCCUUCCAUCUGAUUUGCCUGCCUGGCCUCUAGUUCACAUAUGGAGACUGAGUACCUAGUGGCAUGGGUGGUCCAGUGAUGACUUGGGAAUAGGCAUCCAUUUAACACACAGCAAUGGCACCUGCAUCUCAGGGACAUUAGCCUGGAGUUCUGUGAACACCUGUUCUCCUGUGUCUCUAGCAUGCUAAGCACCGCGGUCAGAAAUUAAUUUGGCGGGCCCAGCAAACACAGAAGUGGAUGCUCACAGUCAGCUAAUGGAUGGAUCAUAGGGCUCCCAAUGGAGGAGCUAGAGAAAGUAGCCAAGGAG
rnacentral:lncRNA from 1 species